AAGUAGAGUGAUCGAAAGAUGAAAAGCACUUUGAAAAGAGGGUUAAACAGCACGUGAAAUUGUUAAAAGGGAAGCGCUUGUGACCAGACUUGCGUCCGGUGAAUCACCCAGCUCUCGCGGCUGGGGCACUUCGCCGGCUCAGGCCAGCAUCAGCUCGCUGUCGGGGACAAAAGCUUCAGGAACGUAGCUCUCUUCGGGGAGUGUUAUAGCCUGUUGCAUAAUACCCUUCGGCGGGCUGAGGUACGCGCUCCGCAAGGAUGCUGGCAUAAUGGUCAUCAGCGACCCGUCUUGAAACACGGACCAAGGAGUCAACCUUAUGUGCGAG
rnacentral:rRNA from 1 species